rnacentral:rRNA from 1 species
AUUGAACGCUGGCGGCAGGCCUAACACAUGCAAGUCGAGCGAGCGUCGGACGGGUGCGUCAUUUCUGGGGACCUGCCUGCUGGAGGGGGAUAACUCCUGGGGACGGUAGCUCAUACCGCAUACCCUCGGAUAUGCCCCUAUGGGAUUAGCUAGUGGGUGGGGUAACGGCGCACCUAGGCGACGAUCCCUAGCUGGUCUGAGAGGAUGACCAGCAAAACUGGAACUGAGACACGGACCAGACGCCUACGGGAGGAAGAAGGGGGGAAGAUUGGACAAUGGGAGAAAGCCUGAUGCAGCCAUGCCGCGUGUGUGAAGAAGGCCUUAGGGUGGGAAAGCACUUUCAGCGGGGAGGCGUUACCUACAGAAGAAGCACCGGCUAACUCCGUGCCAGCCGCCGCGGUAAUUC